GAUCAUGGCUCAGGAUGAACGCUAGCUACAGGCUUAACACAUGCAAGUCGGAGGGGCAGCGGGAUUGAAGCUUGCUUCAAUUGCCGGCGACCGGCGCACGGGUGAGUAACGCGUAUCCAACCUUCCGUACACUCAGGGAUAGCCUUUCGAGAGAAAGAUUAAUACCUGAUGGUAUGAUGAGAUUGCAUGGUAAUCAUCAUUAAAGAUUUAUCGGUGUACGAUGGGG
rnacentral:rRNA from 1 species